UACGAAGGGGGCUAGCGUUGUUCGGAAUUACUGGGCGUAAAGGGCGCGUAGGCGGUGUGUCAAGUCAGGCGUGAAAGCCCCGGGCUCAACCUGGGAACCGCGCUUGAGACUGGCACGCUCGAGUUCGGGAGAGGAUGGUGGAAUUCCCAGUGUAGAGGUGAAAUUCGUAGAUAUUGGGAAGAACACCGGUGGCGAAGGCGGCGCUCUGGACCGAGACUGACGCUGAGGCGCGAAAGCGUGGGGAGCAAACAGG
rnacentral:rRNA from 1 species